rnacentral:rRNA from 1 species
CCUACGGGUGGCAGCAGUGAGGAAUAUUGGUCAAUGGACGAGAGUCUGAACCAGCCAAGUAGCGUGAAGGAUGACUGCUCUAUGGGUUGUAAACUUCUUUUAUAUGGGAAUAAAACGUUCCACGUGUGGGAUUUUGUAUGUACCAUAUGAAUAAGGAUCGGCUAACUCCGUGCCAGCAGCCGCGGUAAUACGGAGGAUCCGAGCGUUAUCCGGAUUUAUUGGGUUUAAAGGGAGCGUAGGUGGAUUGUUAAGUCAGUUGUGAAAGUUUGCGGCUCAACCGUAAAAUGGCAGUUGAAACUGGCAGUCUUGAGUACAGUAGAGGUGGGCGGAAUGCGUGGUGUAGCGGUGAAAUGCUUAGAUAUCACGAAGAACUCCGAUUGCGAAGGCAGUUCACUGGACUGCAACUGACGCUGAGGCUCGAAAGUGUGGGUAUCAAACAGGAUUAGAUACCCGAGUAGUC